GUCACAAAGAAUUUCAAACCCUAAACAUGCCCCAUUUCUUCUGAUAUCAGAGGCUGAGGAGGGUUGGACCUGGUUAGUACUUGGAUGGGAGACUGCCUGGGAAUAUUGGUGCUGUAGGCU
rnacentral:rRNA from 1 species